rnacentral:rRNA from 1 species
GAUGAACGCUGGCGGCGUGCCUAAUACAUGCAAGUCGAGCGAACAGACGAGGAGCUUGCUCCUCUGACGUUAGCGGCGGACGGGUGAGUAACACGUGGAUAACCUACCUAUAAGACUGGGAUAACUUCGGGAAACCGGAGCUAAUACCGGAUAAUAUAUUGAACCGCAUGGUUCAAUAGUGAAAGACGGUUUUGCUGUCACUUAUAGAUGGAUCCGCGCCGCAUUAGCUAGUUGGUAAGGUAACGGCUUACCAAGGCAACGAUGCGUAGCCGACCUGAGAGGGUGAUCGGCCACACGGGAACGGAGACACGGUCCAGAGUCCUACGGGAGGCAGCAGUAGGGAAUCUUCCGCAAUGGGCGAAAGCUUGACGGAGCAACGCCGCGUGAGUGAUGAAGGUCUUCGGAUCGUAAAACUCGGUUAUUAGGGAAGAACAGAUGUGUAAGUAACUAUGCACGUCUUGACGGUACCGAAUCAGAAAGCCACGGCUAACUACGUG